rnacentral:rRNA from 1 species
UCCUAAGAUGAGCUCGACGACAACAGAAAUCUCGUGUGGAACAAAAGGGUAAAAGCUCAUUUGAUUUUGAUUUCUAGUACGAGUAUAAAUCAUGAAAGCAUGGCCUAAC